GACGAACGCUGGCGGCGUGCUUAACACAUGCAAGUCGAACGGAAAGGCCCUGCUCUUGUGGGGUGCUCGAGAGGCGAACGGGUGAGUAACACGUGAGUAACCUGCCCUUGACUUUGGGAUAACUUCAGGAAACUGGGGCUAAUACCGGAUAGGCGCUCCUGCUGCAUGGUGGGGGUUGGAAAGUUUCGGCGGUUGGGGAUGGACUCGCGGCUUAUCCGCUUGUUGGUGGGGUAGUGGCUUACCAAGGCUUUGACGGGUAGCCGGCCUGAGAGGGUGACCGGCCACAUUGGGACGGAGAUACGGCCCAGACUCCUACGGGAGGCAGCAGGGGGGAAUAUUGCACAAUGGGCGGAAGCCUGAGGCAGCAACGCCGCGUGCGGGAUGACGGCCUUCGGGUGGAAACCCGCUUUGGCCUGUGACGAAGCGUGAGUGACGGUAAUGGGUAAAGAAGCACCGGCUAACUACGUG
rnacentral:rRNA from 1 species